UACGUAGGGUGCAAGCGUUAAUCGGAAUUACUGGGCGUAAAGCGUGUGCAGGCGGCCUGUCAAGUGGUGUAUGAAAUAUCCAGGCUCAACCUGGAGGGGUUAUGCCAGACUGGCAGGCUAGAGUGCGAGAGAGGGGCGUGGAAUUCCGGGUGUAGUGGUGAAAUGCGUAGAGAUCCGGAGGAACCCCAGAGGCGAAGGCGGCGCCCUGGCUCGCCACUGACGCUCAGACACGACAGCAUGGGGAGCGAACGGG
rnacentral:rRNA from 1 species